AUCAAAAGAAAAUUGAAAGUACUGAAAGUGCUUGUAGAAUGGACCAAUUACAAUGGAAAGAGACAAAAACUGUUCAAAAGGACUACAAACGUCAACCACAGAAGUUGCCAAUCACUCAAGAGUUCAACAGGAGACAAGGUCGUUUGUGUAGACCCAAAGAAAAGUGCUUAAAGGAUAACGUAUAUGCAUCUCUUGAAAUUGGAUCAACCUUUUCUG